CGUGCCUAAUACAUGCAAGUCGAACGAAGCUUUCUUUCACCGAAUGCUUGCAUUCACCGAAAGAAGCUUAGUGGCGAACGGGUGAGUAACACGUAGGCAACCUGCCCAAAAGAGGGGGAUAACACUUGGAAACAGGUGCUAAUACCGCAUAACCAUGAACACCGCAUGAUGUUCAUGUAAAAGACGGCUUUUGCUGUCACUUUUGGAUGGGCCUGCGGCGUAUUAACUUGUUGGUGGGGUAACGGCCUACCAAGGUGAUGAUACGUAGCCGAACUGAGAGGUUGAUCGGCCACAUUGGGACUGAGACACGGCCCAAACUCCUACGGGAGGCAGCAGUAGGGAAUCUUCCACAAUGGACGAAAGUCUGAUGGAGCAACGCCGCGUGAAUGAAGAAGGCCUUCGGGUCGUAAAAUUCUGUUGUCAGAGAAGAACGUGCGUGAGAGUAACUGUUCACGUAUUGACGGUAUCUGACCAGAAAGCCACGGCUAACUACGUGCCAGCAGCCGCGGUAAUACGUAGGUGGCGAGCGUUGUCCGGAUUUAUUGGGCGUAAAGGGAACGCAGGCGGUCUUUUAAGUCUGAUGUGAAAGCCUUCGGCUUAACCGAAGUAGUGCAUUGGAAACUGGAAGACUUGAGUGCAGAAGAGGAGAGUGGAACUCCAUGUGUAGCGGUGAAAUGCGUAGAUAUAUGGAAGAACACCAGUGGCGAAAGCGGCUCUCUGGUCUGUAACUGACGCUGAGGUUCGAAAGCGUGGGUAGCAAACAGGAUUAGAUACCCUGGUAGUCCACGCCGUAAACGAUGAGUGCUAAGUGUUGGAGGGUUUCCGCCCUUCAGUGCUGCAGCUAACGCAUUAAGCACUCCGCCUGGGGAGUACGGUCGCAAGACUGAAACUCAAAGGAAUUGACGGGGGCCCGCACAAGCGGUGGAGCAUGUGGUUUAAUUCGAAGCAACGCGAAGAACCUUACCAGGUCUUGACAUCUUCUGACAAUUCCAGAGAUGGAACGUUCCCUUCGGGGACAGAAUGACAGGUGGUGCAUGGUUGUCGUCAGCUCGU
rnacentral:rRNA from 1 species